rnacentral:rRNA from 1 species
CAUAAUCUCUGAGGAGAAAAGCAGGGGAUCGCAAGACCUUGCGCUUUUGGAGCGGCCGAUGUCUGAUUAGCUAGUUGGUGAGGUAAAGGCUUACCAAGGCUUCGAUCAGUAGCUGGUCUGAGAGGACGACCAGCCACACUGGGACUGAGACACGGCCCAGACUCCUACGGGAGGCAGCAGUGGGGAAUUUUGGACAAUGGGGGCAACCCUGAUCCAGCCAUGCCGCGUGAGUGAAGAAGGCCUUCGGGUUGUAAAGCUCUUUCAGCCGGAACGAAACGGUCACGGUUAAUAACUGUGAUCACUGACGGUACCGGAAGAAGAAG